AGCGGCGGACGGGUGAGUAAUGCUUAGGAAUCUGCCAUUUAGUGGGGGACAACAUUCCGAAAGGAAUGCUAAUACCGCAUACGUCCUACGGGAGAAAGCAGGGGAUCUUCGGACCUUGCGCUAAAUGAUGAGCCUAAGUCGGAUUAGCUAGUUGGUGGGGUAAAGGCCUACCAAGGCGACGAUCUGUAGCGGGUCUGAGAGGAUGAUCCGCCACACUGGGACUGAGACACGGCCCAGACUCCUACGGGAGGCAGCAGUGGGGAAUAUUGGACAAUGGGCGGAAGCCUGAUCCAGCCAUGCCGCGUGUGUGAAGAAGGCCUUUUGGUUGUAAAGCACUUUAAGCGAGGAGGAGGCUACCUGGAUUAAUACUCUGGGAUAGUGGACGUUACUCGCAGAAUAAGCACCGGCCAACUCUGUGCCAGCAGCCGCGGUAAUACAGAGGGUGCGAGCGUUAAUCGGAUUUACUGGGCGUAAAGCGUGCGUAGGCGGCUUUUUAAGUCGGAUGUGAAAUCCCCGAGCUUAACUUGGGAAUUGCAUUCGAUACUGGGAAGCUAGAGUAUGGGAGAGGAUGGUAGAAUUCCAGGUGUAGCGGUGAAAUGCGUAGAGAUCUGGAGGAAUACCGAUGGCGAAGGCAGCCAUCUGGCCUAAUACUGACGCUGAGGUACGAAAGCAUGGGGAGCAAACAGGAUUAGAUACCCUGGUAGUCCAUGCCGUAAACGAUGUCUACUAGC
rnacentral:rRNA from 1 species